rnacentral:lncRNA from 1 species
AGGCAAUAGUCCGACUUUAUUGAUAUUGAGAGUAACACAAUAAAAGUUUCGUACAGAUUUUGCAAACGAAAAGCACAUAAUACACUUAACUAGGUGGAAAAAUUAAAGUGUAUGUAUUACAAACUGCUAACAAUAUACAAUAGUAAAAAUCACUCUUAUGAACUCACAAAUACUAGGCACCAAUAAGAGUAUGAUACAGCCAUUCUAAAUGAAAGAGAAUACAACUGUUUUACAACUAUGUCACAUCAAGAGAUAUGUUAGCAGGAUUAAUCCAGAUACCUAGGGAUGGCAACUGGAUCGCUCUAUAAUGGAUAUCCACAAUAUCCAUCCAAUUGGAUCGGAUAAUAUCCAUCCAAAAAUUUUUAGAUUUUGAAAUGGAUAUUUUAAAAUUAUAUCCAAAUGGAUAUGGAUGGAUAUAGAUAAUUAUUUUUACCCAAUGGAUAUCUAUUUAACCCAACACAAGUUUAAAAAAUUUUAAUUUUAUAAAAUAAAAAAUAAAAAAUAUAAUAAACAAACAAUUGUAAAAAUAUUAUAUUAACUAGUGAAAAUUUUAAAUUCAUCUUAUAUUAAAAACUAAAGUUUUCAAAAUUAUCCUUUAAUUUUUUAACUUAUUUAAUAUUAUUAAAAAUUAUUAUUUUAUUUUAUUAAUUUAAUAUUAUAAAUGGACAUCCACCGGAAAGUCACCGGACCUCCUCCGGAAUUCACCGGAAAGUUGCCGGACCACCGUCGACUUCGCCGGAAUUCGCUGGAAAGUUGCCGGACCACCGCCACCAACCACCAGACCGCCAUUUUAUAUAUAUAUAUAUAUAUAUAUAUAUAUAUAUAUAUAUAUAUAUAUAUAUAUAUUAUUACUAAUAUAAAUAGUUUAAUAACCAAAUUUAAUAUUGGAAUUUUAAUUAUUUUAUAUUAUUAUUUUUAUAUAAUAAAAAUAAAAUAUCCAUAGAUAUUCAUGGGUCUCCAUAGUUAUAUGGAUAAAAUCUAUAUCCAUGUCCAAUAUUAAAUACUGGAUAUGGAUAUAGAUAUAUCCAUUAUCGAUAAUUAUGGAUUUGUGUUUGGAUGGAUAAUAUCCAUCCAUAAUUGAAUAUUUGCCAUCCCUACAUAUACCUUUGAACCCAAUUAACCAACUCGAGUCAGAAACCAGGGGCCCCCAACUGAACCUUACAAUCUUGAAGGAAGAAGGAGACUUGUGGUCCAGAUAGGAGACUUACUAGAUCUCCUGCAAAAGAGAAUAUCUAUUGCUUUGAACCUCCAUUGAAAUUUCUUUUUCUCUUUUUCUUGUUUUAACUUGGAACUUUCCAGCAUCAUCUAUUUGAUCUUUUUUGAAGGUAAAAUAGCAAUCUAUAGGUUGCCAACAUGUUAUUCUGCCAAACCCCACCCCCCGGGGGACAACAAAUAGUGCCUACUCAACUUAUGUUUUCCAAUGGACGACAAUAUGCAAAUCGACCCAGUAGCCACAUUUUUCCUCCCUUUCAACCACCGUUAGGCAACUUUUCUAACCUUCCUUCAUUGCCCACACGUACAGAACUAUAAUAAAAAGACUACAUUAUUAUUGGGGUAGAGAAAAUAUGCAGACUAUAUUAUUAUUACAUCACAUUUUACUAAUUAACUAGUGCACGACUUAUUUAGUGUCAAAUCAAGAACUAAUUAGAAAAGACAACUCUUGAUAAUACAGACCUUAACAAGCAAUAGCUAACAACAUCCCAUAUACUCUUAUUUUAGCCUUCACUAUCCUGGUAAAAACACAAAUAAGUCUUGCAAACGAACAUUUAUAAGUAAAUUCAACAUUAAUUAAGAUUAGGUAUCUACUGCACCUUCAAUCAAUGACUGGGUGAAUAGCAUGGUCAACCAUCUAGUUCCUGUAGCCUUCCAUGUACCUAUGUUAGUUACAUUUUAUAUAUUAAGCCAUGAAAAUGAAGAACUCUUCCAUUUCAAACAGUGUUAGAAGAUAUUUGCAAAGCCUAAAGAUAACAUACGAGGACCAAGAUAUACACAGAUAGUUUCUUUACGGGACUAAAGAGCUUUUUUAGAUGUUAAAACUGUUUCAAACUCUUUUUCUUGUUUGGUUUAACUAAGGAAGAGCUUGUGGAAGAUUAAAAAUGAUGUUUCCUGUUCUCUGUAGGAAGCUUUUAGGAGAUUUUUUGGGUUUUUUUGAAAGGUUGAAUUGUCAAAAAUACCUUGAUGUUAUUGUUUGCUAAAAGAUGUUAUGGACAACUAAACAACCAACAACAUUUUGUUAAAAGCUCUACUAGUGUAGGAUCUACUUAAAGAAGCUAUACCAAACAGAUUCUUAGACUAAAUAACUCGAUCUUAAGUUUGUAAAAUUGGGCUCAGAAUCUCCACUAACAACCCCGCUUCGGUGAGAAAGCCCAAGCCUGUUACUUUGUAUAACCUUAUUCUGUAUGUUUGAUUGCAGGAACUGGCCGAUCAUACCGACGAGGUGAGUGUGCAACAUGAGGUGCUUGACGGGAUGUUUACUUUCUAUGAUACAACUAAAGCUAGCCUCAACAUAUAUCAGGUGCCUGCUUGUUUUUACCUUCUAGAUACUAAUAUUGUUUAGACGUGUAAUCUCUCUCUCCAUUGAACGCUAGACGGCUCGUCUCAAGCCUUCUACGUACAUCAGAGUCCUUCUUUAGCUUUUUAUGUAUAAAGUUUUGAUCUUUUUCCUUCAUUUGCUUGAAGCUCAUUACUGCAGAUUUUUUUUACAGGUUGCUAGUGUAACAUUCGACUUGCUGUUGCUUCUAGUGUUGGGAUCGUAUUUAAUUGUGCUUUUCAGCUUUCUUGUCACAACAACUUGGGUAUUACUCUUUCUCCAUAUCAAGCUUGAAGUUCUAAAUUUCAGUUUUAUCUUUUAUUUGAUGUUUUAUAAUUUCAUUGCAAACAGAUUAGAAUAGAAACUUCAAAAGUUCCAACUGACUAGUCCCGUGUAACUUUUUCAGGGAAUAUUUUCUCUCAUAACAACUACGAAUGUGUUAUGGUUUAGCUCAGUGACACAAAGGAUAGAAAAUCUAAGAUGCGAAAAAUUUUUGUUGAGAUUCAUUUUUCAUCCUGAUGUUACAGCUGGCCUUUUUUUUUUUUUUUGGCAGAGAAUAAUGCUUGUGUGAUUUCUGAACUUGGUGAUUGUUGAAAUGAGCUGAAAAUGAGCUGGAAAUGUGUUUGGUUAAUGAGAAAGAGAGCAAGAAAAUGAAAGAAAUCUAUUUCACUUUUUAUUUAUCAGCAUGAUUACAUUCACAAUAAAUCUAAGCUGCUAUUUAUACUUAAAUGAAUACACACGAGAAUCUUCUUGCUAGAUACUUCUAGAAACUCUACACGCACACUCACAUUGAGCUAGUGGUUACUAAAACCGUUACAACGAUAUUGCCAGCUCAGCAUAACCAACUUAUAACUAACACACUCAGCUGCAGGGGAAACCAUCAAGCUUACUGUGCAUCCUCUGUACUCAAGCUUCUUUAAGCAUGCUCUGCAGAUCAUACUCAAGCUUUUUUUUUCAUAGAAGUUGCAAUCUUUACGUUAUAUACUAGUUUGACUAGGCUAUAUAAGGAAGCUAUAUGAAAUUAGAAAAAUAAGCUAUACUAGGAAAGAAUAAAUAUAUGUACAGAAAAUUAGGCUAUAAUCUCUGACUUUAAACAAAUUUAAUAUCAAUUUUCUUCUGGAAGUUGUCUCGCAUGGGGCGCAUCAGUAUUGUAACGUCUGAUGGGUCUUACAUUAUCCACAAAAAUAACUCGUCCAUCUAGUACCUGCAAGUACAUACUCUGAGAUGCUUAAACUCAACAAUAUAAGCAUGGAAAAUUAGAGAAAAAUGAUGCAAUUUUACCUUCCCAUUCAUGUCUGCCGAGGCUUUUUGGGCUUCCUCUUCUGUACUGAAAGUCACAUAUCCGUAACCUUUUGAUCUAUUCUUACCUUUAUCCAUUAUUAUUGUAGCUGCAAACAGAAAAGAAUCGGAUAUUACAAAAUAGUGAAGAGGGAAGAGGGGUUGAGACUUAAAACAGAAAUAGACCAAACCCUCAGUGACGUGGCCAAAUUGUGAAAAAGCAUCAGCUAACAUUUCUUUAGUGGUUGAGAAAGAUACGCCUGCAAAGGAUGCCAGUUAAUUUUAUCAUAAUUUUAGAUGGUAAGAUUGCAAAUUCUGCAGCCAAAGGUAGUACGGAACUGAAUGAAGGAAAUCAAAUAUGAAUAUGUUUUCAAUCUCAGAAUAUUAAGAGUAGCAUAAGUAACUUGUGAAACAGUUACAAGUUCAACGGAAUUAACUGAUGGCAUGGUUGAAUUUUGUAAAUAUUUGAUAUUUUGAACCGAACACGGCAAACAGAUGGAUCCAGAUAAUCAAGAAAAACAUCAAUUCCAUGCAACCAAAUUAGUGUGGGCAAUGCAAUUGAGCAACACUAUAAAAUUAUUCAAAGAAAUCUCUAGGUCAGUAUCCAAAUAUAUUUCUGAAAAUGUUUUUUUCUCAUUAGCGCCGCCAUUUUUGUAAUAGAGGGUAAAGAAAUAAGUAACAAAGUAAGAGGUGAGCAGAAGCGGCCCAAUUUAGCUAUAUGCCAUGCAUGCGAUCAAAAUUGAACGGUUAAAUGGCAGCCACUAUGUUACAUCUUGUGUAAGUAACAAACCGCCUACAUGGAUCGUUGGAUUUGGGAAUAUGAAAUCCAAUGGAUAAUAUUGAAUUUAACGAAAAAUAGAUUACAGGUUGCAUUAGUCCAAGUUUAUUUCAAACAAACCAGCUGACGAAAUAGCCGCUAAUCAAAUUUAAAAGGGAAAAAAAAAUCAAAUUAUAGGUUAUAGAUCUUAUUUCCAUCUUAAAUCUAUGUCUUUCGUGGUGACUCAAUUUGUAAACUAAUUUAUAAUUUGGAUCUAUAUUAGAGCUAAUGCUUCCCUAAAUAACUAAGAAAAUUUUCUUUUCAUUGAUUAAAUAUUUAUUUCCAAUAUCUUGUAUAUGUAGGAUUUGAAAAGAGGGAAAAUAGUAGGGAUGAUAAUGAGAGAAGAUAGAGAUGUCGAUUCUCAAAUCUAAUAUUAGUGCUAUACUUAUAUUCCUAUACUAAAUAAAUUAUCCAAGGUUCGUGCUUAACGAUACGUUGCAAAAUUUUAAUUUCUAUUUAAAGCUCUGUCUAAUAUGGCUUUUCAUAAAGCUUAGAGAAAAGUAGAGCUUUUACCAAAAAAAAAUUAAUUAGAAUUGUCAAUGAUAAAUUUUAAAAAGUACUUUAAUAAAUAAGCUUUUAAAGUUAUAUAUAUUAUGAAAGAAAUGAAAUAAGAUUAUAUAAUAAAUUAAGAGUAUCUUAGAUAAUUGAACUUUAAAAAAAAAACUCGCUAAGAGGUUUAAAAUUUGAGUUUUAAUAGUGGAUACAAAAUAGUUUAUUUAAUUCUCAAAAGCUCUACUCAAAAUAGUUUAUUUAAUUCUCAAAAAAUAUUUUUUUCAUUGAGUAAAUAAUACUAAACAUGCACUAAAGUGUUAGGACCAGAAGUUGUACAAAAAAUGAUGGCUACAACUUAAAUUAUGAAUGGAGUAAUCGGAGAAUAUUGAAACCCGUUUAAUUUGGAUCGUGCAUUGAGGGACGAAAGGAUAAAAAAUUUAAUUUUGAAAUUGCUGUUGGGUACGGUACAAUGACUUACCGUUGACAGCUUUUGCAACCGGAUUACAAUCGGUUAGUUCAAUAAUUUUAUAUCCCCAUUUAACCGCCACGUGCUGCUGUUACAUGGGUCAAUUAGUCAUGUCAUUACUGUUACUUACAGAUGCCGUAACAUAACCGGACCCUGGUUAAAUUCUGUUGUUUCCAAUAAUUUUAUGCUGUAUCUUCUUUAAUAAUAAAGAAAACUUGCAUUAAAAUUAAAAUUAGGGUAAUACCUGAUUUUAUAAAUAGAUUGCAAUGUAAUUUUGAAAAAUAAAACAAUAAUUUACAAAAUGUUUAUAACAUAAUUUUAAUUUUUUUUCAAAAAGGAAAAAGAACAAAAGUAAGAAAUAGAGAAUUAGGGCUACAAACUUUGUAUCUUAAACGGCCGUUAGAUUAUUUGUAAAUGAAAGCAACGGUCAGAUAUUGGUGGAUUAUGGAAACAUGUAAUCAUAAGGACUGUGAGUUUUUUUUGUUACAUUAAUAUAUUACAAUCAAAUUCUAUUAGUAUUUACAACUAGAAUUUCAUUUGACUAUCUUUGAUAAUUCUAAACUAGUACAACCCAAAUUCUUAUUCUCACAUAAUAUCAAAGAGAGAUAUAUAUUCUUCUCCUCUAUUAAUAAAGAGACAUUUUUAUUUCCUUUUAAUAGUUAGGACUCAGAACUCAUACACGCUAGUUUGAGAGUGUUGGGUGUGACAAUGAGCCAGGAGACCAUUGACAAGUACAAAAGAGUGGUAGAAAUUAAUUCAAUCCGCUACACACGCUAUUGCAACCAAAUUGAGGGCCCAUUUUUGUUUAUUUGGUUGAAAAAUAGUUUGCAUAAUUAAUUCAAACCGCUACACACGCUAUUGCAACCAAAUUGAGGGCCCAUUUUUGUUUAUUUCGUUGAAAAGCAGUUUGCACAAUUAAUUCAAACCGCUACACACGCUAUUGCAUCUUUUGAAAAAGAAAAACAGAAUAGUUUUCUAAAAUUAAUUCCGAGAAGAAGAUUAACUAAUAAUGAUGUUAGAAAUUUUAAUAUUUGAGUCUUAAUAUUAUGUAUCACUCAUUUAUUAAAUAAUAGAUUUCAUAAUUUAUAAAAUUACUUAACCACUUGAUAAAUGUUAUAUUUGUUGGGACUAAAUUGGGACUUAAAUGUUGGAAUAUCUAGUAUUGCAUUAAAAAAUAAAUAAAAACAUAACAAUUUAUCUUCACUUGACUAAUUGUUUUUACAUCACAACUAACCUUAAUUAUUUUGAAAGUUACAGUAUUAUUAAAUUGUCCUAACUGGUUAUCAAAAGUUGAAGCAUGUUAAAAUAAAAAAAAUUACCAAGAAACAUGUGCUUAAACAGAGGUUAAGGCUAUGAACAAUUAAGAAGAAACUCUUAAUUUGGUCCCAGUUAGUAUAAUAAUCAUCUAUUGAGCGGUAAAAUAUUAAUUUUAAUAGUGAUGAAAUCCAAUAUAUAAUAGAUUAAUAACACACAUAAAUUAAAACUUAACUGUCAGAAAUCAUAACAUUACUCUACUCUUCAGUAGAGUUCUCUUAACAGAUUAUGUGAGAUUGCCUACAUUAAAAAUAGGUUAAGACUGCUUGUUGAAAGCAAUAUUCGCUUUUUCAUUAUAUCCAUAACUUUGUUGGGUCCCUCUAUGGUGCCGUAAUUUUUUUUACGGUAUUAAUAGUGUAACAAAUUUGUACCAUUAGAUAUAAUCAACGGUACACAUUAUUUUUAAUAAUGAAAAUAUUUAAUUAUUUCACAAAUGUUAUAACCGGUUAACAAACCGGUUGCAAAACCUAUUUUAAAUUUAAAAGGAAAGAAAAUAGAGAUAUAAUAAAACUCAAUCUCCUUCUUUAUCUCAUAAAAUUCGUAAUCUGUUUAUCUCCUUUGUUGUUGUAUUGAAAUUGGAUUCCUCAAUGCUGUCUCAGUUCACAAAUGAUUAAUCGUGUCAAAUCGUAAGCUUGUUCUUAUCGUUCAACUUUUUCUCCAUUUAUUGCCACAUUUAUUUGAUAGGUAGGCUUUUAAAUUUAUUGCUCGAUGGUGACAUUAGACAAGGAAUCACAGAUUUGAUGUUCUUUGUUGUACUAAAUUCAUAUCAAAUCUUGCUUUGAUGCUAUAAUAUAUUUAGUUACUACCUUACAUUUUCUUUUUUCACAUUUGAAAACAAAUUCUUUUUAUUCAUAGGAUUACAUAAAGUGCGCAGCCCUGAAGUUUGAACUUCAAAGGAUAAAGUUGCAUUGCAGCAUGUUAAGCAGCAAAGCUUCUUCACUGCAUUAGAUAGAAGACGGUGAAUCAAGUGCAGCCAAGACUUGGCUGAGUCAGCAAUUAACCACCAAUCGUUUAAGAAAGAGGGGCAAAGCAAGUUGAGGCCCACUUAUUAAUCUUAGCCUCUGAUUCCAUUCUCCUUUUCUCCGUCCUGAUUUGAUUAUCUCCAGCAGUGACGCUAAAGGUUAAACUGGCAUGAUCUUGCCCACAUAUAAAUGUAUUUUUUUUUUUUAGGAUCUGAAGGGGCAAAUUUUUUUUUCAAGUUUGUUAUAUGAUCUUUUGUGAAGACCUGAAGAUACGAGAGUCAGAUUAAUAAUUUUGUCUCUCUUAGGCUUUAUGCAGUGGGAAUGAACUUUCUCUCUUUUAAUUCUCUGCCAUUUUCUCAAUGAAGGCAGCAAGAGAAUAUUCAGUCUUUCAAAGUCUCAACAUUCAUAAUUUGGCCAGUCUAGUUGUUUACCUUGCAUCUGCUGGAGUAUUAUAUCGCCAAGAGAUUUUUCCGUUGCACUUUACGAAUUUAUAUUAUUUUGAGGAGGGAAUUCAGCUAACUAUUAAUAUCAUACAAUUGAAAUUUAAAUGUCGGUCUUUAAAUUCUAAAGAUUAAAGACAAGCCUAAUAUGAAAAUACAGAUGUUAAAAUCUUCAUUUUUGUUUAUUGAUACUUUAUUUGUUAGUAUCAUAAUUUUAGAGAUAUAUUUGAUGUUACAUGAUUGACUAAAUAUUAACAUUAAAAUGCAGAUGGAAAGAAAAAAUGAUGGAGGGCUCCAUAAAAGCAUAAAAAGAAACGGAGAUGGUGAAGCAAACUUUCGAAAUUGCAACCAUGAGAAGGAAUUGACAAAGCUUAAUGAAAAAAUGGAUGGGAUGACAUUUAAUCUUGUCGCUGUCAGGCAUGAACUUGGUGAGCUGAAGAGGAACAAUUUAGAUACUUAUGCAUUGGUACAAAAAAUGUAUAGUGUAGUUGAAGCACUUGAACGUAAUAUAACUCAUAUGCAAUCACACGCAUGGAAGGAAAAGAUGAACUCUUCUAGUAAAGAUGUUCAAAAUAGUAAAAAUGAAUCAAGUGGUCAAAAUUUCGUGGAAAAGGGAGAUGAGUUUGGGGUGAAGAUCGCAGAGAUUAAGGACAAGAUUGAAGACGCAUGUGAUGAAAAUUUAUCAUUGAAAAACUUAUUUGUGUAUAGGAAACAAAAAGAGAACCAAAUCUUCCACAAUGUUGUUAAAAAGGUAUGAUAAUAAACUAUUAUUCUACAUUUUUUUUUCAAAAAUAUUUGUAUAGCACAUUCAUUAAACAAAAAAAUAAUAAUAAUAAAAUUCAUGUUCUUAUGCAUGUAGGAUAAAGCCAUGGAUGCAGUUGAUUUUGUGGAUUUGGUAUCAUCGGUGGAAGUAGAUGCAAUUGAGGAUAAAAAGGUGCGUCCUCGAAAGCCCAGUCGUUAUAAAAAAUCUCCUUAUGAAAAUUUUACAAAAAAAAAAGGCUAUCGCAAGAAGGAGUUCGAUUUAUCCAAACAUGGAGCUUCUUUUUCGGAGGAAGAAUGGUAUAUUUUACAGUAUAUUUUUCAUGAACAACUAGAUAAAAGGUAUGGAACUAUUUAAAUAUAAUCAUAUUUUAUAUGUUUGUAUUUUGAUGUUAUUAUUUGUUUUAAUUAACUAUUAAUGUGAGUGUAUAACUUAUGCAGAGAGAAAAUUGUAAUGACAAAACGACAUAUUGUUACCCGCUUCUUAAUGUCUUCUUUAGCUCCUAAUGUUUGGAUAUUUGAUGAGGUAUAUUGUGUUAGUGUGUGUGUCUAAUAUUCAGAGCGUAAUAAGAUUAUAUGUAUUUAAUUUAUAAUUUAUUUUUCAUUUGGUAGUGCAUGUUUUAAUAAUAAUGUUGUGAUGAUUUUAUUCAUAGAUCAUAAGUUGCUAUGCUGAGUAUUUAACUAGAAAGGAGAGUUUGAAGCAAGAUAAUGAGACUCGAAAUUGGUUUUUACCAACUCUUUUUGGGGUAUGUUAUAAAUUUUUGUUGUUACAAAUAUAUAAUAUGCUUUUACAAAAAAAUUAGAAUUUUUUUAAAAUUAUAUCUUACCAUCUUCAUAUAAUUAUUAAUUUAUGAAUGUUGUAGCAAAUAGUGGCGAAUGUGUCAGGUGUUUCAACUAUUGAUAGAUCAGAGAUUGAAAUUUCGGUUCGUAAACAUAACAUUUGUGAAUUUUACAUGGGUGCACUCAAAAGAUGUGAAAAGGUCAGGAAUAUUAUCAUAUGUUCAAAAAACAAAAAAAUUUAUUUACUCAAAUAUCAUAUGUUUUAUUAUUAUCAUUUGAAGGGAGUAAUGAUUAAUACAAAAUUAGUGUAUUGUUGCACAGAUAUAUGUUCCUCUUUAUGACGGGCUUGCAAAACAUUGGUAUCUUGUAAUAAUGAAUAUAAAAGAUAAGACUGCUGAGAUUUGGGAUUCUUUGCCUAAUUCUGAAAUAGAACCAAAUCAUCGUCAAGAAAUCGUUAAGCAAAAUGUAAGUUCAAAUUUUUUAUUUGUUUAUAUGAAAUUACUAGAUGCAAUAUAUAUUAACUAUCAUUAUUAUUAUGCAGUACAUGCAUUGGNNNNNNNNNNNNNNNNNNNNNNNNNNNNNNNNNNNNNNNNNNNNNNNNNNNNNNNNNNNNNNNNNNNNNNNNNNNNNNNNNNNNNNNNNNNNNNNNNNNNCCUAGUCUUGCUUCGUGAUAUAGCCUUUAACUUUCCUUCUGAUUGGGUAUUUCGUUGACUUUGACAUUUUAUAUCCAAAUAAUGUGCCAAUUCAACCAAAUGGAAAUGAUUGUGGCUUGUAUGUGAUGAAGUUUAUGGAGACUCCAUGUGAGAUGUUAUUCCCAACUUAUAAGGUAACUUAAUCAUACAAUUUAUAUUUCUUAGUUUGCACAAUACUUUAAUCAAUAUUAAAUUGUUAUUAAUUCUAUUAUAUGCAGUAUGAAUCGGAUGAAGAAAGAUUUCGUCUUGCGCUACUCCUUGUAAAUGGUGAUGCAAAUGAAGUAAGAGAUAGUGUUAUACAAAAAGCACUAUCAUUCCGUGGUCCUAAGACGAAUGUUAUUGCAACUAGUAAAGUUAGAACUAAAGUUGCUUCUCAAAAAAAACAUCGUUCAAUUAAUAAAGUUAGAACUGUAAUUGGUACUGGAGAAUAUUUGAAGAAACCAGGAAGAAAAUCCAAUUGAUCUGCCUAGUAGAGGUUUAAUAAAUUUGGUAUUGGACGUAAUUUGUAUUUUGUCACUUUUAAUUUUUUUGUCCCCUCAAUUGAAUUUUAUAUUCAAUGUAAAGUUUUUAUUUGGAUUACUUAAUUUUCUUUUUUAGUUUUUAAGUUUUUGGAUUACUCUUUAUGAAAAUUUUGUGUCUUGUUACUUUCAAUUUUUUUUGUCCCCUUUAAUUGACCUUUGUAUUCGAUGUAAAGUUUUUAUUUGGAUUACUCAUUAAGUUUUGUUAGCUUUUGAGUUUAUGGUCUCUUCCAAUUAAAAACUUUCAAAAAAUAAUAGCCUGCUUUUUUUUUUUUUGUGUGUGUUUUAAGUUCAGCCUACAAGUGAAUGACUGUAAGUCGUUAACUAAAAAUCUAAAAAUGUCAAAUGUCAAAUAUUCUUCCGCUUCUCAUCACCUUCUUUUCCAACCUAUAAUAUGCCAAACAAAAAUGCAUCAAUAAAAAUAAAUUUAGAUAACAGCUAAAAUAUUCAACCUUUGUAAGAAUUAUCCUAAUAUAAAUAUACCUCAUUAAGUACUGGACAUUUGCGUCUAUUGUGUCCAGGUAAUUUGCAAUACCCACAUUUUUUCAAAUUGACGCCUUUAUUAAAUCUUGCACUAGGAGCACCUUUCGUCUUCACACUUAAUGGAUCUUUUAUAAUAGCAACAUUUCUCUUCUCACUGGACCAUCUACCUCUUUUCUCUUCAAAAUUCCCACUCAACUCUAACAUUUCAGACUUAAGUUGUGUGAUAAGACCCUUUAAUUUCAAGUAUCCAGCAUCUGUCAUCGAGGCAUAGAAAAAUGUGUCUAGUUACAGAAGAAAUUUACAGAAUCAAAUUUUGACUUCGCUUCUUAAAGAUAUUCACGAUUUAGUGCACAAAGGUCACAACCGUCUAGAAACCACACAAGAUCCGAUGUUUCUGAAUUAACUGAUAUCAAUUAACAAGGAAUAAAAUUAAAAACUAUAUAUCUAUAGAAAGAUUUAUUUUUCAGGAGUUCAAAUAAUUUUACGGUUUUCUAUUUGAAGUUUUCUACAUGAAGAUAUGGCUUAAAGAAUGCUGACUGCUCAAAAUCACUGAAGCAACCAAGUCUAUGAUUAUCAGAAAACUUGCAUGAUUAAACUGUACUGAUCUAGAAUAUAUGAGAUUGCAUACUAUAUAUUUUUUGAUAGAUAAAUAUGUCUAGUUACAGAAGAAAUUUACAGAAUCAAUUUUCGACUUCGCUUCUUAAAGAUAUUCACGAUUUAGUGCACAAAGGUCACAACCGUCUAGAAACCACACAAGAUCCGAUGUUUCUGAAUUAACUGAUAUCAAUUAACAAGGAAUAAAAUUACAAACUAUAUAUCUAUAGAAAGAUUUAUUUUUCAGGAGUUCAAAUAAUUUUACGGUUUUCUAUUUGAAGUUGUCUACAUGAUGGCUGAUGUGUUUCAGCAGAUAUUACAAGAGGAAAUAUAUCUUCUCCCAGUGAUGGUUUUGAGAGAUCGUCCAACUCAUAGAAGCCUAAGUCGAUGCCUGUUCCCGAAGGCUGACGAAACUUCUGACCCAAUCCUUUCUUAAAGGGAAUUUUUGCCGGCAUAUAAGCUUCAGGAAACAGUGGAACAAACUUACAGUUGGGCUCUUCCUUGGCAAAGUAGAAAACAGUGAUGCUGCAGAUAAGAAAAGAAAAUAAAGAGAUAUGGCUUAAAGAAUGCUGACUGCUCAGAAUCACCAAAGCAACCAAGCCUCUGAUUAUCAGCCAAAUUCCAUGAUUUAACUGUAUUGAUCUAGAAUAUAUGACAUUACAUAAUAUAUAUGUUUGGAUAGAUGAAUGUAUCUAGUUGUGGAAGAAAUUUACAGAAUCAAGAUAGACUAAUAAUAACUUAAUAUUAACAAAAUUUUUAUUGUACAUGUUAUUUUAUCAAUUAUAUUUAUUGUAACACUUUAUUUGUAUCAUAUGAUUUUUAUUUGUUAUUUUUAUCCUAUUACUAUAUUUAUAUUUAUUUAGAUUGAUUUAGUCAAAAGGUAUAAUAGUCAUUUAGGAAAUUAAGAGGGUCUAUGUGACUAUUUAUGAAACUAAAGGAACAUGUAUAAUUAUUUUAGCAAAUCUUAGGGGUGUGGGUGGUUUUUUCCGAAAUUAAUAUUGAUUUAAAAUUAAAAAAUUAAUAUUUACCUGUAACCUGUAAGUUACCUGCUCUAUUUUAAUUAAUUAUCUAAUUAUCUAUUAUAUUAAAUGAAUGAUUCAGAUUAAAACUCUUAUAUCUAAGGGUCCACAUUAGUUCCACUAUCAAUACUGUAAAAAUAAAUACAGCAUCAUAAAGAAAUCCAACUUUGAAUUGAUAAAGUUGUAUUCAACAGCUCUUGAAAAGACUAAGCUGGUCUUCUUUGCAUUUGAUCACUGGUAUUUCAGUUAAGUUUGUCGUUUACUUAAAUUUUUCUUGCUUUCAAUUUCCACUGUUGUUUUUUUUUUAAUAAAAUAAUUUGUUUAACUAGUCAUAGAAAUAAGAGAGAAAAUGGGCCAUUUCUUGACUCAAAGUCAAUUAUAAUUAUCAAAACUUGAGCGGACAUUGCAUGCCUAAAUUCCACGCACCCUAAAACGGUUUGAUUUGCUUUCACGCGUUCAUGAUUUUGCAUGAAAGAGAGUGCCUCUCGUCUCUUUCCGGACAGUGACUACAGUCAUGGAAAAAUUAUGUUAACGUGACGAAUACAAAACGUUAUUACAUACAAGAAUAAGUUUUUGGACCCGAGACUUGAGGGAGGUUCUAUCUAAUUCUAAAGAUUGUAACCAAAGCAUUAUCCCCAAUUUUUUUAAGUUAAAUAAAAUAAAAUUUAUGCUUAAGUAUAAAUAAUUUUUUAAAGUUAAAUAUAAAAUAAAAUUCAUGAACUUCCAAGAAAGAAAGAAGACCCUUCACCUUCUUCGUGACAACAAAUGAUGUUGAUAUGACAAAUACAAGCGCUAGUACAGGGAACAGCAUAAGACCGAGACUUGAUAAAUAUUAAAUAUAUAAAAUAAGUGGAGCAAACGAACAGAAUAAUAGAUUUUUAUAAUAUUCUUCAUAAAAAUCCAAGUUUUGAGCUGGCCCAUAAGCUUAUCUAGUGAAGUCUGGGUAUCCGCGUUGCCCAAGGUUCCGUUUGAAUUCAGGCUGUGCUGAUAUUUAUGACAUCCGACGGAGAGGAAAUAUUUUCAGUUGACUAAAUUAAAUAAAAGUAUAUUAUAAUCAUAUUAUAUAUUAGCAACAAAAAUAAAAAGAAAUGAAGAAAAACGCAUGCAAGACUUAGAGAAGUCAAUUAAAAGAUGGGAGUAUCAUCAGUUCAAUUGGUUAUAAAUAGCGUAGAGCCAUCCUCUCGUUGUUGCAGAAGAGAGACAGAAAGAGUGUGUGUAGGUGAUUAUAAUUAAGAAGAUAUAAUGUGUGGUUCAAAAAGAGUGUGGGUGAGUGAGUUAAUACUCAUAUUAUUAGUAGUAAAAGGGUGGUGGAGUGAGGGAUGUUUGGAGCAAGAGAGGUCUGCUCUCCUCCAACUCAGACAUUUCUUCAAUGAUGAUCAACGUCUUCAAAACUGGGUAGACGAUGAGAAUAAUUUAGAUUGUUGUCAGUGGGAAGGGAUUGAGUGCAACAACACCACUGGCAGUGUGAUUAAAUUAGAUCUAGCACAAACUCGAAAAUGGGAAUCAGCGAAGUGGUAUAUGAAUGCCUCUCUGUUUACUCCCUUUCAACAAUUAGAGUCUCUUGAUCUAAUUGGGAACAAUAUAGCUGAUUGUGUUAAAAACGAAGGUCAUUAAUUUACUCUAUUUUAAUUCUUCCUCCUCGUAAUUUCUUACAUCUAUCUGAUCCCUUUUGGCUUUUGUUUAAUUUGUACGUGAUACAAUAAAAUUAUUUUUUUUCAGGUUUGGAGAGGUUAUCAAGGUUGAACAACUUGAAGUUUCUUUUUUUAGAUGAUAACUACUUCAACAACAGCAUCUUUUCAUCUCUAGGUGGUCUUUCAUCACUCAGACACUUAUCAUUGGCUGUUAAUAGAUUGAAUGGAAGUGAUGAUAUUAAAGGUAAGUAAGCUUCAUCCCUUCUCCCGUGUCCCAUCUUUGUGGAUCUUAUUUCAUCGACCAGCUGGAAGUAUUGAUACGAGAUCUAGCUAGACUCUUGCUAGUUUAAGCUUCAAGGCUUUGAAUAUUAUAAAAAUAGGUUUAAGGAAUUAUCAAUAUAUGCAAUUUUCUAUGCUUCUCAUAAUCAGACACAAUUCAAUCUAAUUAUUUCGUAUGUCCUCUCUUCAAAAGUAAAGAAUUGUACACUAAACGGAAAUCGACAUUGUAGCUUUUUAUUUUUUCUAAUGCUCUUUCUUUGUUAACGAGUUUAUAUCCUGAGAGUGCAUUGGAUUCAAAAAAAAAAAAGUUUUGAUGUUCAAGGUAAGCCAUAAUAACAUGCAUCUUAUUUAUCUGUCUAUAUCUAAAUUUGUGCACUGAAUUUAGUAUUUUAGUUAGUGUGAAGGGAUCAGAUAUUGGCUUCCAUAAACCAACUUGUAUUUACUUAAUUAAUUAAUUAACACCAUUUAGUAUUUAACAAAUUAAAAUUUCGUGUUUAAUUUGUCUUAUUUUUUAUUUUUUGAAGCAAGAAUAAGGUAUAGCAGUAGGUAAAGUUGAAAUACAUAUUUAUUCCUUACAAAUUUAAAUUCGUUUUCAGCCAAAUAUACCUACUUAAAACCACUCAAUCAUGCCAUUGGCAACAGUUUUUUAGGUUUUUCUAGUUAACCGUGUACUUUUUUGCUUAUUAAUAAAAUUCUUUUGUGCUGAGAUUUAAAAUAAAGAAGGAGAAAAUAAGUUAUUUAAUUAACCUUGUUUUAAGUGUUGGCAUAAAUGCAGGACUGAAUUCCUUGAGUAACUUGGAGGAGCUGGACAUGACAGGCAAUGCAAUCGAAAAUCUUGUGGUUCCUAAAGGUAUACAAAAUGUUCAAAUAUUAAUAAUUUGGAGGACAGUUUAAUUGAUUUGAUUAGGGAAUGCCCAAAUGACACUUACCCAAAAUAAUUUAAUCCAAAAUUGUAUCCCAAACAGAUUUCAUAGGUUUGAGGAAGUUGAAUACCCUUAAUUUAGGGGGAAGCGAAAUUCGAAUGAUAGAUGGAAGCAAGGUGUUGCAAUCAAUAGGAUCACUACCGUCCCUCAAAACACUUUGCCUUUCAUAUACUAAUUUUACGGGAACAGUAGUUAAUCAAGGUAAGUAAAUCUUUUAUGUCGAAAAUAAUUGAAUUAAUAUAUAUAGCUAAAAUUUAUUGUUUCUACUUCUUUCUACAUAGAAUUGCACAAUUUCACCAACUUGGAAGAAUUGAUAUUGGGCAAAUCUGAUCUCCAUGUAAGCCAGCUUCUGCCAAGCAUCGCAUCAUUCACUUCGUUAAAGUAUUUGUCAAUGGGAGGUUGUAUACUCACAGGUGCCGUACAUGGUCAAGGUAAAUUAUGGGUAUCUGAAGCUUUUAAAUUUUUUCUUUUAAAUUUUUUAUAUUUUCACUGUCCAAUGGUUCUACCUUCUCUAAAUUGUAGGAUUCUUGAUUAAGGUUAAUGAAAUUUUUGUUCUGUUAUGUUAAGAAUAUUUCGAUCGCUUAGAAGAGUAAAGAAAAAUAAGUAAAUUAACCCAAAAAAAAAAGAAAAGAACAGGACCGGAUUAUCCUUAUUCCCUUGCAUUAUGUGAUCAAUAUCAAAAUUAUAACCAUUUCUUGUUUAUUGCUUGUAGAUUUUCGUAAAUUCAAGAAUUUGGAAAAUCUGGACAUGAAUCUGGUGUAUGUUGACGUCAACACCAGUUUUCUUCAAAUUGUCGGUGAAUCGAUGCCUUCUCUCAAGUUUUUAUCACUGACAGAUUCAAUUCUUAAUAAAAACACCAUUCUUGAUCAAGGUUAAUUAAUGAUUCUCCUUCUCCCUCUCUCGCAUCAUAACUAAAUUUAAUUGAGAAUAUCUAUAAUGCGAGCUAUUUAUAAACUUAAUGAAAGAUGAUAAGGAGCCAUAAUAAUGACAAAAAUAACUGUAAAAUAGUGCACUGUUGUAGUGUUGAUUGAAAAAUAAUGCUAAUUUUUUACUUAACAUUAUAACGCUGUAUAAUUUUACAGUUAUUUUGUUGCCAUUACGUCAGAUUAUACUGUUCAACUAUCAGUGAUCAAACUUAAUUUUUAAUGUGUACUUGAAAGAUAUGUAAUUAUUUAUCUAUGUGUACUGAAGGAUGAAUUAUAUAUUUUUCAGGACUUUGUCAGUUAGUGCAUCUGCAAGAGUUACACAUCGGCGGUAAUGAUUUGAGAGGUAGCUUGCCAUGGUGCUUGGCAAACAUGACAUCCCUUCAAGUGUUAGAUGCCUCUUCUAAUCAACUUACUGGAAACAUCUCCCCAGGCCUUUGUGAGUUGGUGUUUCUAAGAGAGUUAUCCAUUCAUAACAAUGAUUUAAGAGGUAGCUUGCCUUUGUGCAUGGCAAAUUUGACUUCCCUUCGAGUAUUAGAUGUCUCUUACAAUCAACUUACUGAAAACAUCUCAUCUUCCCUCAUGCAUCUAAUAUCUAUGGAAGAGCUCAUAAUUUCAAAUAAUCACUUCUUCCAAAUCCCUAUUUCACUUGAACCACUUUUCAAUCUCUCAAAACUCAAGACUUUCGAUGGUGAAAUAUGCGCAAAAACUGAGUCACAUUAUAAUUCUUUGACCCCAAAAUUCCAACUGACUUCUAUCUCACUAUCUGGUUACAUAGAUGGUGGCACAUUUCCCAAAUUCUUGUACCAUCAGCAUGACUUGAAGAAUGCUGAUCUCUCACACCUUAACUUGAGUGGAAAAUUUCCAAAUUGGUUGCUAGAAAACAAUACGAACUUAGAGACGCUUCUUCUUGCCAACAACUCUCUUUUUGGAUCAUUUCGGAUGCCAAUUCAUUCCCACCAGAAAUUGGCAAUAUUGAAUGUCUCCAACAAUUUCUUUCAAGGCCAUAUUCCGGUGGAAAUCGGAACAUAUCUGCCAGGUUUAACGGAUUUAAACUUAUCUAGAAAUGCUUUCAACAGUAGCAUUCCCUCUUCAUUUGCUGAUAUGAAAAUGUUGAAAAGGUUGGACAUAUCCUACAAUCAGUUGACUGGUGAAAUCCCUGAGCGCAUGGCCACGGGUUGCUUCUCAUUGGAAAUUCUUGCAUUGUCAAACAACAGUUUGCAAGGUCAUAUAUUCUCUAAAAAAUUUAACUUGACAAAUUUGAUGAGGUUGCAGUUGGAUGGUAAUAAAUUCAUUGGAGAGAUCCCAGAAAGCUUAUCUAAGUGCUAUUUGUUGGCAGGAUUGUAUCUGAGUGAUAAUCAUCUCUCUGGUGAGAUUCCAAGAUGGUUGGGUAAUUUGUCAAUUUUAGAAGAUAUUAUAAUGCCCAAUAACAAUCUGGAAGGACCAAUUCCAAUCGAGUUCUGUCAGCUUUAUUUUCUGACGAUUUUAGACCUUUCAAACAAUGCUAUUUUUGGAACCUUACCAUCUUGUUUUAGUCCAGCAUCUAUUGAACAAGUUCAUUUGUCAAAAAACAGGAUAGAAGGACGGUUGGAAAGUAUAAUCCAUGACAGCCCCAAUUUGGUGACAUUAGAUCUCAGUUAUAAUCGCUUACACGGAAGUAUUCCAAAUCGGAUUGAAAGACUACCUAAGUUAAACUACAUUCUUUUGGCUAAUAAUUAUAUUGAAGGCGAAAUACCAGUUCAAUUAUGCCAUUUGAAGGAAGUGCAGUUGAUUGAUCUUUCUCAUAAUAAUCUAUCUGGUCAUAUUCCUCCUUGCUUGGUUAACACUUCACUUAGUGAAGGUCAUCAUGAGGCAGUAGCUCCAACUUCUAGUUUGUUGGGUCAACUGCCUGCCUCACCUCCAUCUGAAUCUGAGGCUGCAAGUGGACCUCCGAUGGGAAAGGAAGAAACUGUACAGUUCACAACAAAGAAUAUGUCCUACUAUUAUCAAGGAAGAAUUUUGACGAGUAUGUCUGGGAUUGAUCUUUCUUGUAACAAACUGACAGGUGAGAUUCCUACUCAAAUUGGAUAUCUUACUAGGAUUCAUGCACUAAAUCUAUCUCAUAACAAUUUGACGGGCACAAUCCCGACAACAUUUUCAAACCUGAAGCAAAUCGAAAGCUUGGACCUCUCCUACAACCUACUGCAUGGGAAAAUCCCUUCUCAGCUCACUGUGCUAACUACAUUGGCGGUCUUCAGAGUAGCAUACAAUAACUUAUCAGGCAAAAUCCCAGAUAGAGUUGCACAAUUUUCAACAUUUGAGGAAGAUAGCUAUGAGGGGAAUCCUUUUCUUUGUGGAUGGCCACUGUCUAAAAGUUGCAAUGAUAGUGGAUUAUCAGCAGUGACACCAGAAGCUUACACUGAAAAUGAAGAAGGUGAUAGUUUAAUUGACAUGGACAGUUUCUUGAUCACUUUUACAGUAUCUUAUGGAAUUGUGAUAUUAGGAAUUAUCGGAGUUUUGUACGUAAACCCCUAUUGGCGGCGAAGAUGGUUUUACCUUGUUGAAGUGUGUAUGACCUCUUGCUACUAUUUUGUGGCAGACAAUCUUGUUCCUAGAAGAUUCUAUGGUGGAUGGAUGUAAUUUCAUUUACUUUACAACUUAUAUGUAAUUUUUAAAGAAUUUUCUUUUGCAUGCAUGGAAUAGCAACUCAAUAAAAGUAUUUGAUGCAAAUUGUCCAAGAACAACUUAGUAAUUUCAUUGCUACUAUUCGGUUGUAUAUAUACAGUUAAUGAAAUUUUUAAUCAUUCGCAGUAGGAAUUUCUUUAGAUGGCGGCCAAAACUAACAGAUUUGGGGCUCUACUUCUACACAUCAUAACAGGCAAAAGGUCUCUCUUUUACACGAUCUGAAUCAUUCAAUAGGUGUCUACUUCUACACAUCAUAACAGGCAAAAGGUCUCUACUUCUACGCCCCCUGGAGUUCUCCAUUAAACUUGACGGUUGAGAUUUCAGGUCCAGAUGAAAGUUAAAUGCAGGCGACGAGACUACACUUUAAGUAAACUGGGACAAACUUAAAAUAAAAAAAACUAUAGUCCAGGGUGAGAGUGAUGGGUAGCUCAACUUAUGGAGGAUAACUAGGACUUGGAAUAACUAUCAGAUUUGCAACUCUUGUAAUAUAUAGUGGGCAUUCAGGUAGCAAUUAUCGCCUUGGGAGUUACCGUAAUCGAUUCAUUUCCUCCUUCAUUUCUGAUGGUAACCCAGCUCUAUACAAGAACAAUAAGAGAAGGUUCCUUUAAGAAAUUUCACAACCCACAAUUUUUUUUUUUCCUUUUUGCCCUGUUCCUCACAAUAAACACACCUAACACACCAAGCCGUGCCCAAAAUAAUCCUAUUUUAUUCAUGUCAUGAAUCCAAAAACUAUCCCAGCUCACUUUGUUUAACCAGCAUAACUAAAUUGUGGGUAUAAAUGAACAGACUUUCGAAGCCUGUAACUUAUAAUAAGCUCAAACCCAAAAAUGACAUUUAAAUCCUGCAAGUGUUUUUCAUCAUCCCUAACAAAAAGAAACAAGAAUAAUUAUAUACCAAUAAUUUUUCCAUAAAAAAUACUGAUUUGAGUUGAAGCACUAUACAAACUGGGUUUUAUUACACUUGCAGAAAGCUACACGGUAGACAAAAUCUAGCAGCUACAUAUUGGUAUCACUUUCAGCUGGUCAUGAAUGGUGUGCAUUCAGCAGUGCACAAUAGACCAUGUCUAUGAAUUGAUUGUCCUAUUACAUAUAAAAGCUGGUCAGAUAUACAAGGAAAAAAAUAAUAAUUGAAAAUGCAUCACAAAAAAUAAGUGUUUCGCAUUAGUGUUUGCACUCUUAAGCAUGGCAAAGUGGUGCAGGGUUCAUGAUUUUGAAGACAAUGAUAAGUGAAAAAUAGUUCAAUCCAUUGAUGAACAUAAAUUUAUUUACAUGUCAAUUUAGAUACCAUCAAAAAGUAAACAGUAAUUCACAGUCACUUAAAAUAGUUGAUAAAAUGCGUGCCAUGAAUGCAUUUUUGUACAUAAGAAAUCCAAAGAGUAUUUCUGACAAUACAAAUAUGCUAGCUUUAAGUCUGCUGUCAAUAUGCAAUUAAGAAGAUUAUACCAGCUGCAUGAUAAAGUUCCCCUAAUCUUAAUAACAAUAAACAUGAACAUGUCAGAUGCAAUUCUAGCUUCGACCAUUUGCAUAACCAGAAAUCCUAACCUGAACAAGCACCAGAAGUGCCUCUCGGACUUUCUCCUUGCUGAUAAAUGGUCCACUGUUCCAAGUAAGAGCAGGAGUAAGAGAUGGUGGAGGGAUUGGUGGUGGAAACGGUUGAAGCACUGGGGCACCAUAUGGGCGUUGUAGACUCAAGGGAGUAUUAAGUGGCAGAGCUGUUGGUGUAGAUGAAGAGACAGGCUGCAUCAUCCCCGCAGAGGAGGAUGGAGGAGGAACAAAGAAUAAGGAAGGCUUUACAAGGUUAGGGGUAGGUGCUGACAGAGGUGGAGAUGGUAUUGCAAGGUUGGCACGAUAGGAGAAGCAACACUGGCGGGAUGAGAAGGUAAAGAAAUAGUUGUAUUGGACUGGUAAGGUUGUGCAGAGAUUGCUGCAUUAGAAGUAUUCCCCACAGUCAAAGCUGUCUGCAAUGAUAAGGACAGAUGUCAUAUACAAGGACAUCAUAGAAGUUGAACCUCACACAAAAAUGAAGUGAUAACAUGUGAAAAUAGUAUAUGACUUGCUGCAUUUUUGUGGUAAUGUUGCAUACUUAUGUAGAAACAUAUUAUUUCAAAGAAAACAUACACUGAAGAAGUUCACAAAAGCAGGAUCUUCAGGAACAUCAACAGCAUUUGAGGGAGUUGACUCUAGAGGACCAUCCAUAACUGCCAUAGUUGGAACAGCUUCCAGUUCCUCAAACUCACUGCAGUUUAACAUAAAAGGAACUUGAUGACCAAUUUAAGUAAUAAUUAGAUGAUAUACGAGGUUAGGGAAAAUGAUGAGUGGACCCUUAUGGAAGGUGAUUUCACCUUAGCUAAACAGGAAAAUAAAAAGAAAUCAAAGCUGAAUCCUCGAGUGCAAUGCAAAGAAUUUUUUCUCUCUUCUCUAACUCCUCUUAUUCAAAAUUGCUCAUCAUUGUGCUGUUCUUCGAGAUUUCGCUAGAGUAGAGAAAGCUAUUCUCCCGUUAAGUGCAGAGGAAAGAGAAGGGCAAAGGCCUGGUAUGAUGCUAUUCUAUAAGAAGUGAGAAAGUGAAGGGCUAAAAUAUUUUGCAAUUUGGAGGUGGUGUUUUUCAGUGUGUGUGCUUCUGAAUUUAUUACCUCUUUAGGAUCCAUAGAAAUUGCCUCUUGUUCAGCAUGCACUGUGCCUACGAGUAAGGCGAGCUUGCAUGGUAUCUAUUGUCUAUUUAUUUGGAUAUUCAAACAGGACUACCAGCAACCAAACACAAAUCCCCAAACAAAACACUCUUUCAAGUGCAAGGAAAGAGUAACUUGGGCAUAUUUAUGGUUCAAGCACUACCAUAACUAAGAAUGUGAUGCUGUCCACAAACACUAUAUCAGUGCCUUUUGAACUACAUCACAUGCUCGAAGACUUUUUUUUUAGUCAUACAUAAAUUAGCUAUAAAAUUAAGACUAUUAUACAACUAAAAAGAAAGAAAAAUUGUUUGCUACUACAUAUCAAAACUGGUAAUAGCAAUGUAAGAUGGCAGACUUCUUACUUAAACAGAUGAGAGGCUGCAAAUAAAAAAUUUGUGCAAAUAAAAUAUAUGAUAAAGAGCAUAAUACUUUCUUGGGGGCUAAAAAUAAUAUACAACUUGUGAAAUAUAAAUUGAGCUACCAUUACCUUUUAGAUGUAGCAACUUUCGACUUUUGAGGCACCUUGGAAUAUGCAUUCAGAAUCCUGCAUUUGGAAGCCAAAUAAAUAAUGUCAACAACAAUUUUACAAUAGAAAAAUUAAAAAUUGAUAAAUGGCAGUUGUAAUUUAUGUAUGUGUAAAGAUAGCAUCACAUCCAGGGUCCUCCCAUAAACAUGCUUGUAACAAGAAUUAGUUUGCCUCAACUGCUAGCAACUAUACAAUAGUAAAAAUCACUCUUAUGAACUCAACAAUACUAGGCACCAAUAAGAGUAUGAUACCGCCAUUCUAAAUGGAAGAGAAUACAACUGUUUUACAACUAUGUCACAUCAGGAGAUAUGCUAGGAGGAUUAAUCCAGAUACCAUCCAACCCAAUUUGGAAAACUCGAGUCAGAAACCAGGAGCUGUAACCAAACCUUACAAUCUUGAAGGAAGAAGGAGACUUGGGGCAUUUUUCCAGAUAGGUGACUUACAAGAUCUCCUGCCAAGAAAAUAUCUAUUGCUUUGAACCUCCAUUGAAAUUUCUUUUCCCUUUUUCUUGUUUUGACUUGGAACUUUCCAGCAUCAUCUAUUUGAUCUUUUUUAAAGCUAAAAUAGCAAUCUAUGGGUUGUCAACAUCUUAUCCCCCCCCCCCCCCCCCUCGGGGGGGCCCCCAAAAAAAAAAAACCAAUGAGUUGUCAAUAAAUAGCACCUACUCAACUUAUGUUCUCCAAUGGAUGACAAUGUGCAAAUCGACCUAGCAGCCACAUUUUUCCCCCCUUUCAACCACCAUUAGGCAACUUUUCUAACCUUUCUUCAUUGCCCACGUCUACAGAACUAUCAUAUAAAGACUACAUUAUUAUUGGGAUAGAGAAUAAAAUACAGACUAUAUUAUUAUUAUAUCUAAUUUUAUGAAUUAACUAGUGCAAGACUUAUUUAGUGUCAAAUCAAGAACUAAUUAGAAAAGACAACUCAUGAUAAUACAGAC